GUGGAAAUAAAUGCUGUUGCUGGGAGGAAGUGCUUCUGAAGGAGGGGAAUGGGAGCUUUGUGUGUCUCAGAACAGAACCUGAGCUUACCAGGUCCUGUCAGUCAUAGAUACUGCAAUGGAACUGCCAUAAAUGCACUGAAGGGCAUAGGAGGGGAGGUGUUCAGAAGGAACCUGGAAGAUCUCUCUUUCAAGCAGCAUGUCUCCCAAGCAAAGCCUC